rnacentral:piRNA from 1 species
AGACUGAAACACAAGGGCACAC